GGAGCGGUAGUUCAGUUGGUUCCCAUACCGGCCUGUCACGCCGGGGGUCGCGGGUUCGAGUCCCGUCCUCUCCGCCA
rnacentral:tRNA from 1 species